GAGAAUUAGAAUAGCUCAUUAUCUGACAAACUAAAUGGUCUUUGUUCAGUGAGAGAAUGAAUUGUGACUACUAGGCAGAAUGAUAGUUUGAUGGAGAUGCUUAAUCAAGAUUAAUUUUAUUUUCAAUUGACAAAAGAUUUGAUUUUGCAACUGAUGCCUCUUUUAUUUCAAGUAGUGUUUUGAUUUGUAGUCAUGGUAACAGUGAUAAAAAUUAUUUAACAGUUAAUUAUACACAUAUAUUCAGUGAAUUUCAGUUUUCUCUUCCACUAUGGUAUUUAUGAUAGUUACACAGGAAAUGAUGUUUAAACUCUAGAUAGUGGAAUUUAUAGCCGUAUUAUAAUUUCUAAAUAAAUAUUCUGCCAUACUUAUUGUAUUUAAAUUGAUUAAUGAAAAUAACGAAUUCCAAGUUAGUCUUGAUAUUGAAUAAUUUUUGUUAGACCUAUUUUCAUGUAUGCUGAGUUAAGAUUGAAUGUGUUUUUUCACAUGGAUACAUGUUGUUGUUUUUUUUAAUUUGAUUAUAUUUGAUAUAUGACCUAGUAGUAAACCUUGAAUUUACCCUUUCUUACCAUUUUAUUUUUGUUGUCUAAAUUUAAUGCAACAUGUACAGCACCCACAAGUAAAUAUGUGUAUAUGUUUUAUACUAUGUUCCUCGAUUUAAGAUUUAAGUAAUAAAACUAUAUGUAUGCUAGGAUAUGCUAAAGAAGAAUGCUUUUUGGAUUUUGAAAACAAAUAACGUAAAAAAUUGUGCAAGCACAUAUUAAGUUUAUCUUAAACACAACAUUAGGCUUCUUGUGGUCCACUAUGAUUGAAAGUGACUGUCCUGAAUGAUUGUACUAUGCUUUAGCUAUUUGAUAUUUUGAAUAUUGAAAAAACAACAACAACAACAACAACAGAGAACUAAAACUAUCAGGAAAUUCAAACUUUUUAUUUCAAGAUUUUUAGAUUAACAUGUAAUUUUAAGAAGAAUUCUUUCAAAAAAAAGAGUGCACAAUUAACAGACUUCUGGAAUUUGCAAAAACUAAAUCAAUCAAGAAAUCCUGAUUCCUUGACAUUAUUUGGUAUCUGACUGAAAUAUACCUCCUUGUUCUAACAGUGCCAAUCCAUUCAUCUUGUUUAUCUGUGAAACGAAUGUUAUUGUGCCUUUAUGUUAUGAUGUAUAUUAUUAUUUUCCAAGAAGAUAUGAUAUAUUUUUCAAUCAGUGUAAAUAAACUUAAAAAAGAAAAAACGC
rnacentral:sRNA from 1 species